rnacentral:rRNA from 1 species
CGGCGAGUGAAGAGGGAAGAGCCCAAGAUUGAAAGCUGGCGCCUUCGGCGUCCGCAUUGUAAUCUCAAGAAGUGUUUUCCGCUUCGGACCAUGCCUAAGUCCCUUGGAAAAGGGCAUCAUAGAGGGUGAUAAUCCCGUACAUGGCAUGGAGCGCCCGAAGCUUUGUGAUACGCUUUCUAAGAGUCGAGUUGUUUGGGAAUGCAGCUCAAAAUGGGUGGUAAAUGCCAUCUAAGGCUAAAUAUUGGGGAGAGACCGAUAGCGAACAAGUACAGUGAUGGAAAGAUGAAAAGAACUUUGAAAAGAGAGUUAAACAGUACGUGAAAUUGCCAAAAGGGAAGGGUAGGAGGUCAGAGAUGCGUCGCAGGAUUCAGCCUUGCUUUUGCUUGGUGUUUUUCCUGCGUUGCAGGCCAACGUCGGUUUUGGGCACUGGAGAAGGGUAGGAGGAACGUGGCACCUCUCGGGGUGUGUUAUAGCCUCCUACUGGAUACAGCGACCGAGACCGAGGAACGCAGCGUACUCGUAAGAGCGGGCCUUUUGGCACCUUUACGCUUAGGGCGUUGGCAUAAUGGCCCUCUACCACCCGUCUUGAAACACGGACCAAGGAGUCUAACAUGUAUGCGAGUCUUUGGGUGGCAAACCCAUAGGCGCAAUGAAAGUGAAUUCAGGUGGGAUCCGCAAGGUGCACCAUCGACCGAUCCUCACGUCUUUUAAGUCGUGGAUUUGAGUAAGAGCAUACCUGUUGGGACCCGAAAGAUGGUGAACUAUGCCUGAAUAGGGUGAAGCCAGAGGAAACUCUGGUGGAGGCUCGUAGCGGUUCUGACGUGCAAAUCGAUCGUCAAAUUUGGGUAUAGGGGCGAAAGACUAAUCGAACCAUCUAGUAGCUGGUUCCUGCCGAAGUUUCCCUCAGGAUAGCAGAAACUCACAUCAGUUUUAUGAGGUAAAGCGAAUGAU